rnacentral:rRNA from 1 species
AUGAAAAUGAUGCUAAGGAAUUGCCCAACUCAUGGGUUAAAUCUAUGGAUGAUCAUACAAAUUUUUUCUACAUGGUUGAAUUUUGUUUCUCGUAAUCUUUUAGAUUCCACCGUGGGUGGGACUUUUAUGGAAAUUACUUUGGGUGAAGCCACCAAAUUGCUUGAUAAUAUCAUGGCAAAUUAUUCGCAAUGGCAUACCGAAAGAGCUCCUACUAGUAAAAAGGUUAAUUUGGUUGAAGAAAUUUCUUCUUUGAGUGAAAAAGUUGAUGCUCUGAUGAAAUUGGUUGCUAGUAAAAGUGAUCCUAUUGAUUUUAAUGAUAUGCCUUUGUCUAAUUUGAUUGAACAAUAUAGUGAUGCCAUAUAUGUGAAUUUUAUCUCUCAAAAUAAUUUCAAUAACAAUGCCUAUGGAGGUAAUUUUAAUCCUAGGCCUUUUCCUAGUAAUUCCUCUAAUAAUUAUGGUAAUUCCUAUGGAAAUCAAUCAUAUAAUAAUAAUUGGAACACCUUUGAUCUUGAGAAUAAUAUUAAAGAAUUUAUCAAUACGCAAAAAGUUUUCAACACUUCCAUAUAA